AAAAAGAUAAACCCUAGUUUCCGUGUCCAACGUUUGACCGUCCGUCUUAUUUGAAAAAAUUAUGAAAAAAAUUAAAAAGACAAGUCACGCAUAAAAUAUUAAUCAUGUUUUAUCAUCUAACAACAAUAAAAAUACAAAUUAUAAAAAAAUUAUAUAAGACGGACAGUUAAAAUUGGACACGAAAAUUCAGAAUUUGUCUUUUG
rfam:Oryza rufipogon genomic scaffold, chr07